rnacentral:misc_RNA from 1 species
AAGUAAAAGUCGUAACAAGGUUUCCGUAGGUGAACCUGCGGAAGGAUCAUUCACAAUGAGUGUUUUAUGGCACUCUUUAAAAAUCCAUAUCCACCUUGUGUGCAAUGUUUGUGGGAGAGAGGCAACUCUUUCCCUUCACAAAUAUCAACCUAUAUCUUUAACAACAUUCGUCUGAUAACAUAUUAUGAAUAUACUUAAUUCAAAAUAUAACUUUCAACAACGGAUCUCUUGGCUCUCGCAUCGAUGAAGAACGCAGC